GACAAAAAUUUAUUUUGAAACAUUAAAUCAAUUUACUCUUACUUUCAAUAAAAUAAAUUACGACACUUUUACCGACAAAUGAAAGCAAAUCUUGUUACUCGAUGUCGCUUCAAAAUAAAGAAUGACAACCUUUCUCACAUAAGAUGAAUAUCCCAAUAACAAAAGCAUUCAUGUUUUGUUUACGUUAAUUUGUCAACUCUAUGUGAGAAAGCUUGACAACUCUUCAAGAAAAAGUGUAUCAUCAAAGUAACUUUUUCUUUCAAACUAAUAUAUCGGAACAUAUUUAUUUACUUGCUUAUUUUUCAAAUCCGGACACCGAAAAAAAUUAUUUGAAAAUGAAAAAAGCAAGAAACUUAAAAUGAUAACAAAAGAAAUAUUUACUUGCAGCAAGAAGAUCUAACCACAUUUUAUUUUAAGUUCAAACUACCGGGUGGACACAAAGAAUUCUACUUCUCCGAAGAAAUCGAAAAAAUUUUCCUCAAACAUGUAGGGAAAUUUAUUUUGAAACAAUAAAUAAAUUUUCUUUCACUUUCAAUAAAAGAAAUUAAGGUACUUUUACCGACGAACAAAAGUAAAUCUAGAUGCCUAAUGUGCCCUUAAAUAAAGAACGCCAACCUAUCUCACAUAAGAUAGAUAUCCCGAUAACCAAGCAUCCAUGUUUUAUGUCUGCACUAAUUUAUCAACUCUAUAUAAGAAAGUUUGCCGACUCUUCAAGAGAAAGUGUGUCAUCGAAGUAACUUUUGCUUUCAAACUAAUGUAUCGGAUCAUAUUUACUUGCUUGCUCACUUUUCAAACUGGGACAUUGUAAAAAAUCAUUUUUAAACAAAAGAAGCAAAAAACUUAAAACGAUAUAAAAAAAUAUUUACUUUGCAAUUAGAAGAUCUAGCUAUUUUUGUUUUAAGUUCAAACUACCAGUGAGACACAAAGAAUUCUACUUUCUUCGAAGAAAUCAAAAAGCUCUUCCUUAAACACGGACGCAAAUUUAUUUUCAAACAAUAAAUCAAUUUCCUCUCACUUUCAAUAAAAUAAAUUAAGGCACUUUUACUGACGAACAAAAACAAAUCUAGUUACCUAGUAUGGUUUAAAAAUGAAGAACGCCAGCCAUUCUCACAUAAGAUGAAUAUCCCGAUAACCAAACAUUCAUAUUUAAUGUUUGUGCUAAUUUGUCAACUCUAUAUAAGAAAGUUAGCUGACUCUUCAAGACAAAAUGUGUCAUCAAAGUAACUUUUUCUUUCAAAAUAAUAUAUUGAGACAUAUUUACUUGCUUGCUUACAUUCCAAAUUGGGACACCGUAAAAAUUUAUUUUUCAAUGAAAUGAAAGAAGCAUGAAACUUAAGCGAUACCAAAAAUUUUUUACUUGAAGUCAGAAGAUCCAGCCACAUUUUUUUUUAAGUUAAAACUACUGGACGGACACAAAGAAUUCAAUUAUCUCCGAAAAAAUCGAAAACCAUUUUCGUGGGUUCAAAAUGAAGAACGAUAACCUUUCUCACAUAAGAUAUAUAUUUCGAUAACCAAACAUUCAUGUUUUAUGUCUGCGUUAAUUUCUCAACUCUGUGAGAAAGUUUGUCAUCUCUUCAAGAAAAAGUGUGACAUCAAAGAAAUUUUUUCUUUCAAACUAAUAUAGUGGAACAUAUUUACUUGCUUGCUCACUUUUCAAACUGGGACAUUGUAAAAAAUCAUUUUUAAACGAAAGAAGCAAGAAACUUAAAAAGAUAGAAAAAAAUAUUUACUUGCAAUUAGAAGAUCCAGUUGUUUUUGUUUUAAGUUCAAACUAUCAGUGAGACACAAGGAAUUUUCCUUUCUCUGAAGAAAUUGAAAAGUUCGUCCUUAGACACGGACGCAAAUUUAUUUUCAAACAAUAAAUCAAUUUGCUCUCACUUUUACUAAAAUAAAUUAAGGCACUUUUACUAACGAACAAAAUAAAUCUAGUUACGUGAUGUGGCUUCAAAAUGAAAAACAACACUUUUCACAUAAGAUGAAUAUCCCUAUAACCAAACAUUCAUGUUUUAGGUCUACGCUAAUUUAUCAACACUAUAUGAGAAAGUUAGCCGACUCUUCAAGAUAAAGUGUGUUAUCAAAGUAACUUUUUCUUUCAAACUAAUAUAUUGAGACAUAUUUACUAACUUGUUUACGUUCCAAAUUGGGACACCGUAAAAAUUUAGUUUUCAAUGAAAGAAGCAAGAAACUUAGAGCAACACUAAAAAAUAUUUACUUGAAGUCAAAAGAUCCAAUCACAUUUUUUUUUAGUUCAAAGUACCGAACGGACACAAAGAAUUCAAUUGUCUCCGAAAAAAUCGAAAACCUUUUCCGUGGGUUCAAAAUGAAGAACUACAACUGUUCUCAGAUAAGAUAAAUAUCCCGAUAACCAAGCAUCCAUGUUUUACGUCUGCGCUAAUUUGCUAACUCUAUGUGAGAAAAUUUGCCGACUCCUCAAGAGAAAGUGUGUCAUCAAAGUAACUUUUUCUUUCAAACUAAUGUAUAGGAUCAUAUUUACUUGCUUGCUCACUUUUCAAACCGGGACAUUGUAAAAAAUCAUUUUUAAACGAAAGAAGCAAGAAACUUAAAACAAUACAAAAAAAUAUUUACUUGCAAUUAGAAAAUCCAGCUAUUUUUAUUUUAAGCUCAAACUACCAGUGAGACACAAGGAAUUCUACUUUCUCCGAAGAAAUCGAAAAGUUCUUCCUUAAACACGGAUACAAAUUUAUUUUCAAACAAUAAAUCAAUUUCCUCUCACUUUCAAUAAAAUAAAUUAAGGCACUUUUACUGAUGAACAAAAACAAAUCUAGUUACCUGAUGUGGCUUCAAAAUGAAGAACGACAACUAUUCUCACAUAAGAUGAAUAUCUCGAUAACAAAACAUCCAUGUUUUAUGUUUGAGCUAAUUUGUCAACUCUAUGUGAUAAAGUUGGACGACUCUUCAAGACAAAGUGUGUCAUCAAAGUAACUUUUUCUGUAGCACCCGGAAAGGAGGAGGAUUUACUUGAUUACUUACAUUCCAAACUAAGAUAACGAAAAAUUUAUUUUGGGGGGGAGGCCACGUCAGCAGCCACGUCAGCAGGCCCGGUCAGUAGUCCCGGCCAACCAGGGCCUGCUACGUGGCAAGAUCGCGUCACUCCGAAAGGAGCCACGUUGGCGAUCCGCGUGGGUGCGAUCCGACGGCCCAGAUCAAUCGCGCGAUCGGACGGCCCAGAUUCAAACGCACGGACGGCCCAGAUUCAAUCAAAAACGAACGGCCCAGAUUAAAACGAAAUGAACGGCUGUGAUCAAAAGGCAAGGGGUUAUAAAUAGAACCCCCACACCAGACCAAAAACCCUAGCCGCCAGCCGCUCGCCGGAGAAGACGAACCAGAGGCCGACCGCCGCCACCCGCCGCCACUCGCCGCCGCACCGGGGAAAUUUCCGACCGCCGAUCGAGGUAAAUUUCAUACCCCCGACUCGUUUUUUCCCCGCUGAUUCCUCCUAUGGCCAAAUCGAGGCCGAAAUCCCGGCCAAACAGCCGGAAUACGCGGCCGAAGCCCAGCGGCGCCGCCGCGCCCCCUCUCGAUUUUUGCCUCCGACGAGGCCCUUCCCGGCCUCCGUUCGAUGCAAUUUUUAUAUCACCGUGAUCACCAUUCUUUUCUCUACAGGUUGACCGGAGCCGAAUCACCAAAACACGAACCUCGCCGGAGAGCCGCUGCACCCGAGAGCGCCGCCGCCGGUAAGCUCCGUUUUUCCGUGAUUUUUUGGCCCCCCGAGGGCCCUAGGGUUGUUUUCUGACAAGGACCAAUGCGAGCGUGGCCGAAAACGGCCGAAAACAGCCAACCCGAGGCGACUCGCCGCCGCCAGCGGCGGCGCCGUCGCCGGAGCACGGCAAAGCCGCCGUGCCGGAGUUGCGAUUUGGUCCGAAAGGGGCCCUGGGCCUAAUUUGGAUUUUUUUUGGAACACGUGCAGGUACUGUUAGUGUGUUUCAGUUCCCCGGGAAAAAUUCAGGGAAAAUUAGGGACGGCCUGCAGGCGCACUGUGAAUCGUAUUCGGAUCCCGAAAACAAGUAAGGACCCCUCACCCUAUUUCCUAUCACGGUAUUAAAGUUCAAAAUGAUAAAACGGUAUUUCUUGAAUUAACGCAUGUGUGAAAUUGCUUAAGGUUGCUAAUGGAGCCUGAGUCUAGUGUGAUUGAUGAUUUACUGUUAUUUGGCCUGUUUUACAGCUUUAAAUGCAUUAUGGGGUUUGAUGUGUUCAUUUUAUAGUUUCGAAUGCAUAUAUUACUGUUUUAUUAAUUAUGGGUUGAAUGACUGAAGAAGUGAUACUGUAUGUUGUCUGUUCGGCAUGAAUUACGAUUUGCUUGUUUAAAUGUGAAUUGAUGACGCUUAUUGAGGAAAAGGGAAAUGAAACAUUGUAUAGACUGAUAAUUGUAUGAUGGGGUCAGCCUGACUAGAUAUCCUGGGAGAUGGUGGACGGACCGGGUCCGUAGGGAACCCUACCGGAAUUGUGGUCUCACAUGCCGGACGGGGUAUGGAGAUCUUAUGGUUUUGGCGCCCAUACCGGACGGGGUAUGGGGACGGCCCGUUUCACCCUCAUACCGGACGGGGUAUUGAGGUUUAUGGUUUUGGCGCCCAUACCGGACGGGGUAUGGGGACGGCCCUGGAAACUGAUUAUGAAUGUUAAAGGUUAACAGGUAGCGGGACCCCCAUGGAAACUAGUAGGCUGGUAAAUGAGAAAAGGAUAUGUUGUAUAAUGAUUGAACUACAAAAGGCGUGAUAAGUGCUAUGUUUUACAACUUAUAUUAUUCCAUGAUUGUGAUAAUGUUAUUAUUUUUCUUAUAUUGUUUUCAUAAAUUCCACUGAGGUAAGUGGAUGGUAAAGGUUUUCAUGUUAAUAAACGAGUUUAUUGUAAAUUAUGCUCCAUUGGUCUUUUUGUGUUUUUCUACCCACCUUUACCUCCGUGACGGUGAGAUAUCGUGAUGUUCUUACUGGGCUAGUGUAGCUCACUCCUUAUUUAACCAUUUCAGAUCAGGAAGACAUGGUUCCCGAGCCCGUUCCGCAGGAGGACGACGAAGGGGAUACCUAGAGACUCUGUAGUCAUACUCAUAGUUUUAUUUUCGAGUUUCUCUCUUAGUUAGUUUAAUCUUUUAUAUUUUAAGUACGUUUCUGGUUUUUCGUGUAAGGGAUGUUAACUGAAAUUUUGAUCUCGCUUCCGCAUUUGAUAUAUUUAAAUACUCAUUUCAUUUUAAUGUUUCCGGGGCCGUUACAUUUUCUUUCAAACUAAUAUAUUGAGACAUAUUUACUUGCUUACGUUCCAAACUGGGACACCGUAAAAAUUUAUUUUUCAAUGAAAGAAGAAUGAAACUUAAAGCGAUACCAAAAAAUAUUUACUUACAAGAUCCACCCACAUUUUUUUUAAGUUCAAACUCCUGGACAGACACAGAAUUCAAUUGUCUCCGAAAAAAUCAAAAACCUUUUCUGUGGGUUCAAAAUGAAGAAUUACAACCUUUCUCACAUAAGUAAAUAUCCCGAUAAUCAAGCAUCCAUGUUUUAUGUCUGUGUCAAUUUGUCAACACUAUGUGAGAAAGUUAGCCGAAUCAUCAAGACAAAGUGUAUCAUCAAAGUAACUUUUUCUUUCAAACUAAUAUAUCGGGACAUAUUUACUUCCUUGCUUACGUUCCAAACUGGGACACCGUAAAAAUUUAAUUUUUAAAUGAAAGAAGCAAGAAACUUAAAGCGAUACCAAAAAAUAUUUACUCGAAAUCAGAAGAUCCAAUCACAUUUUUUUUAAGUUCAAAGUACCGGACGGACACAAAGAAUUUAAUUGUCUCCGAAAAAUUGAAAACAUUUUUUCGUGGGUUCAAAAUGAAGAGCUACAACCUUUCUCACAUAAGAUAAAUAUCCCGAUAACCAAGCAUCCAUGUUUUAUAUCUGCGCUAAUUUGUCAACUAUAUGUAAGAAAGUUUGCCAACUCUUCAAGAGAAAGUGUCAUCAAAGUAACUUUUUCUUUCAAACUAAUGUAUCGGAUCAUAUUUACUUGCUUGCUCACUUUUCAAACUGGAACAUUGUAAAAAAUCAUUUUUAAACGAAAGAAGCAAGAAACUUAAAACGAUAUAAAAAAAUAUUUACUUGCAAUGAGAAGAUCUAGCUAUUUUUGUUUUAAGUUCAAACUACUAGUGAGACACAAGGAAUUCUAUUUUCUCCGAAGAAAUCGAAAAGCUCUUCCUUAAACACGGAUACAAAUUUAUUUUCAAACAAUAAAUCAAUUUCCUCUCACUUUCAAUAAAAUAAAUUAAAGCACUUUUACUGACGAACAUAAACAAAUUUAGUUACCUGUUAUGGUUUAAAAAUGAAGAACGCCAACCAUUCUCACAUAAGAUAAAUAUCCCGAUAACCAAACAUUCAUAUUUAAUGUCUGUGCUAAUUUGUCAACUUUAUGUGAGAAAGUUAGCUGACUCUUCAAGACAAAGUGUGUCAUCAAAGUAAUUUUUUCUUUCAAAAUAAUAUAUUGAGACAUAUUUACUUGCUCGCUUACAUUCCAAACUAGGAUACCGUAAAAAUUUAUUUUUCAAUGACAUGAAAGAAGCAUGAAACUUUAAGCGAUACCAAAAAAUUUUUAGUUGAAGUCAGAAGAUCCAGCCACAUUUUUUUUUUUAAGUUAAAACUACUGGACGGACACAAAGAAUUCAACUGUCUCCGAAAAAAUCGAAAACCAUUUUCGUGGGUUCAAAAUGAAGAACGACAACUUUUCUCACAUAAGAUAUAUAUUUCGAUAACCAAGCAUCCAUGUUUUAUGUCUGCGUUAAUUUGUCAACUCUAUAUGAGAAAGUCUGUCUCUUCAAGAGAAAGUGUGAUAUCAAAGUAACUUUUUCUUUCAAACUAUAUACUGGAACAUAUUUACUUGCUCGCUCACUUUUCAAACUGGAAUAUUGUAAAAAGUCAUUUUUAAACGAAAUAAGCAAGAAACUAAAAACUAUACAAAAAAAAAAAAAAAAUUUACUUGCAAUUAGAAGAUCCAGCUAUUCUUGUUUUAAGUUCAAACUAUCAUUGAGACACAAGGAAUUCUACUUUCUCCAAAGAAAUCAAAAAGCUCUUCCUUAAAAAAUAGACGCCAAUUUAUUUUCAAGCAAUAAAUCAAUUUCCUCUUACUUUCAAUAAAAUAAAUUAAGGCACUUUUACUGACGAACAAAAACAAAUCUAGUUACCUGAUGUGGCUUCAAAAUGAAGAACGACAACCAUUCUCACAUAAGAUGAAUAUCCCGAUAACCAAACAUCCAUGUUUUAUGUCUGUGCUAAUUUGUCAACUUUAUGUGAAAAAGUUAGCCGACUCUUCAAGACAAAAUGUGUCAUCAAAGUAACUUUUUCUUUCAAACUAAUAUAUUGAGACAUAUUUACUUGUUUGCUUACGUUCCAAACUGGGAUAUCGUAAAAAUUUAUUUUUCAAUGAAAGAAGCAUUAAACUUAAAGCGAUACCAAAAAAUAUUUACUUGAAGUCAAAAGAUCUAGUCACAUUUUUUUUUUAAGUUCAAACUACCGGACAAACACAAAGAAUUCAAUUGUCUCCAAAAAAAUCAAAAAAAAUUUCGGUGGGUUCAAAAUGAAGAACUACAACAUUUCUCACAUAAGAUAAAUAUCCCGAUAACUAAGAAUCCAUGUUUUAUGUCUGCGCUAAUUUUUCAACUCUAUGUGAGAAAGUUUGCCAACUCUUCAACAGAAAGUGUCAUCAAAGUAACUUUUUAUUUCAAACUAAUAUAUCGGGACAUAUUACUUACUUGCUUACUUUUUAAACCGGGACACCAAAAAAAAAUUAUUUGAAAACAAAAUUAGCAAGAAAAUUAAAACAGUACAAAAAAAUAUUUGCAUUCAGAAUAUCCAGCCACUUUUUUUUUAAGAUCAGACUACCGGACAGAUACAAAGCAUUCUACUUUCUUCGAAGAAAUCAAAAAUCUUUUAUUGAACACGAACACAAAUUUAUUUUCAAAUAAUAAAUCAAUUCCUUCACUAGUAAUAAAAUAAAUUAAGGCAGUUUUACCGAUAAACAAAAGCAAAUCUAAUUACCUG
rnacentral:lncRNA from 1 species